AACCCUAAACUGAACUUUUUCCAUUCAGCCAGCAUUAGGGUUUUAAAACCCAAAACUGAAUUUUCCCUUUAGUCAGCAUUAGGGUUUUAAACCCUAAACUGAACUUUUUCCUUUCAGCCAGCAUUAGGGUUUUAAACCCUAAACUGAGCUUUUCCAUUUAGUCAGCAUUAGGGUUUUAAACCCUAAACUGAACUUUUUCCAUUCAGCCAACAUUAGGGUUUUAAACCCUAAACUGAGCUUUUCCUUUGAUCAGCAUUAGGGUUUUAAACCCUAAACUGAAUUUUUCCUUUCAGUCAGCAUUGAGGUUUUAAACCCUGAACUGAACUUUUCCAUUUAGUCAGCAUUAGGGUUUUAAACCCUAAACUGAACUCUUUCCAUUCAGCCAUCAUUAGGGUUUUAAACCCUAAACUGAGCUUUUUCCAUGCAUGUCAGCAUUAGGGUUUUAAACCCUAAACUGAACCUUUCCCUUUAGUCAGCAUUAGGGUUUUAAACCCUAAACUGAACUUUUUUCUUUUAGCCAGCAUUAGGGUCUUAAACCCUAAGCUGAGCUUUUCCAUGCAAUCAGCAUUUAGGGUUUUAAAACCCUAAACUGAACUUUUUCCUUUAGUUAGCAUUAGGGUUUUAAACUCUAAACUGAACUUUUUCCUUUCAGUCAGCAUUAAGGUUUUAAACCCUAAACUGAGUUUUUCCAUGCAAUCAGCAUUAGGGUUUUAAACCCUAAACUGAGUUUUUCCAUUUAGUCAGCAUUAGGGUUUUAAACCCUAAAUUGAACUCUUUCCUUUCAGCCAGCAUUAGGGUUUUAAACCCUAAACUGAGCUUUUCCAUUCAGCCAGCAUUAGGGUUUUAAACCCUAA
rnacentral:lncRNA from 1 species